GAAAUGGAUGGGUUCAUCCAUUUGCCUUCCAAGUUUAGUGGAAAUAAAGCUUUGGUAUUGCAAUAAAUGGGAGAAGCUACCAGCACUCGGUCUGCUACCAUGUCUUAAGUUUCUUGAGAUUGAAGUAAUGAGGUCAGUAAAAUGUUUGGGUGAAGAGUUUUAUUACCAGCAACAAGAAGAAGGAAGAAUCAGCAACAUCAGUAGAAAUGGUAUUGGUAGUAGUGCUGCAAGUCCUACUACAGGAUCAUUAUUUCCGUCGUUAAUCGUGUUGCAGAUCUGCAAAAUGGAAAAUCUAGAAGAAUGGGUUGCUCCUCCUCUUCAAAUUUACAAUUCUUUUCCUUUUCUUGAGAAUCUAGAAAUCAAGAGAUGCCCAAAACUUAGAAGCACACCAAACUCAUUUCCAUUUAUUAAGAAUUUGGUAUUAUCCGACACCAACAGCAAGGUAGUAGCCUCAAUCUUAUCUACAGGAGGACUUACCUAUCUCACAUCCAUCGAUAUAUCAUAUUCUCCAGAGCUACGAUAUCUCCCACUGGGCGUACUUCUCCAAAAUAUUACUCCCAAUCUCGAAGAACUAUCUAUCUAUGGUUGCUCUAAGUUUCAAGGUUUUCUUCAAGAUAAUGAUCUAAACAACUACAACAACGGUUGUCAGGGUGAUGGUGAUGUCGAAACAAUAUUAUAUGUUUCAUGUCCUGGAAUCAACUCCAACUACAACAAUAGCAGCAAGUCUCUCCGCUCAAUAUAUUUCAAUGAUUGUCCUGCUUUAACGUUACUCCCGGAUAUUUCGAUCGUUUACUUCUCUCCAGAAAUUAGUAAUCUUCAAGUGUGAUAAAUUGAAGGAGUCCAUAUCUUACGAUCUCAAGACACUUACCUUUCUUAAAGAGCUGAAAUUUGAUUUUAUUCAAAGCGAAUAUCCAGCUUAUAAAUCAUUACUUACCACCAGCAUGUACAGAUGGAAUGAGGAUUGAAUGAAGGUCUCAAGAACAAGUAAUUGAUAAAUAUACCAGGAGAUGAAGAAAAGGUAUACACGGUACUACGUUGUUUUAACUUCCAGUAUUAUGAAUCAGCUUCAUUCGAAUGGGUAUGGAGAUGCCUGAAUGCUACAAUGAAGAGGCAGCUAGUUUAAACAAAGAUCAGUGGCAACACAUCCUCAUACUUAUGUCUAUCUUUGGUUUGGAUCUAAACAAAGCAUUUGCAUUAAUAAAGAGGCUCCAAUAUUCGGGUGAUAGUGGCGUAAAUAUGAAGGUCAGAUCCAAGACCCUAAGAGUUGCCAAAAGAGAAUUGUAUCACCAGUUGAAGAGCAGAUCUGAGUUCUUGUCGCAUUGGUCCUUUUAUAGGUGACAUCUGAGAGUCCAAGUAAUCGACUUUGUAAUAAUUUCCAGGGGUUUUUUCGACUUCCCUUUGCCUCUGCAAAUGACUGGUGGUGGUUGUGGUGCCAACUUAGUUGGGAUCACAGUUCGGUGAAUGUAAUCUUACAGGUUAAUGUAUGUGGAAUUUUGU